ACGAUGUUACCGAUAGCGACGAGUAUAAUAACAACAAGGUUAUCUCCCUUAUGCAUAUACGUAAUUUCCGGUUGGUAAUUGACAAACAAGAAAUUUUCAAACAUUUACGUUUUUUGUCUUCAUUUGCUGCUUUUCGAGGAUGCUUCUGUCGAGUUUUGACAGGACAGUAUCCAUGUUACCUGCCCGGCACCCUCCAUUACAGUUGGGACAUUGCCUGCCAGUCUUCUUCCCCAAUCGUGCCCAACCGAUUGGUCCAAUAUUGUUCAAAACUUGAUGGAAAUGCGGUGUCAUCGUAGUUUGGAGAAUGUGCAGAGCACUCGGGACAACAAGCAGUUUAUUUCUUCGAUGAGACUGAAUUGAAGGGGAGCAGACACUGUUGUGAGCAUGAUGAUCACUUCUUCACGUACCAUGGCUUGGAGAUAAAAAGCCGAAAUUGGCACUUUGGUCUUAGCAGCAAACAGGCCUGGCUUUGUGCGGUGCAGGUUUGCUGCAUCGGUGAUGGUUUAGUUUACCUGAUGAAAACCAAAGCAGUUGUGUACCCUGAACUCCUUUCCGAAUUCUUCAUCAAGGGGAUGGAUGUUGAAUGGCAGUGGUAUUAACAUGACAAGAUCAGAGAAUACAGCAAAUUAGACAUUGAAAAAAACAGUGUGCCCUAGACAGUCUCAACCAAAGCAUUGAACAAACUGUACAACCUGUUAAUUAACUUUUUAGAGCUGUUUGUUUGGACUAGUGUUUGUCAUUUUGAAAUAAGUAAUAACAUUAUUUCUCAGUACAAGAAAUCUGCAGGAAUUAGAAGCUGAUAUUUACUGUAACUAUAUAAACAAACCUCUUAGGGGUUUAGCCAGGUUAAAGAAAGACAGGGAGCUACAGAAAAGAGACAGGUUUCCAUGUUUCAAUAGGACACCCUUCAUUUAUCUGUGAAGAAUUUUAACAUUUUGAAUGUUACAGAAAAUGUUAGGAAUAUUGUAUAAUGUUUAAUUGAAGUACUAUUAGGUUUCAAGUGCCAAAUAUUUAAAGCCUGUGUGUAUUUAUAAUCUUGUGAAUAUAAAGUUAUCACAUGACGGGUGCUUCCAAAAAAGAACAGGGUGCAGAAACCUUCCAUAACUCUUGCUAGAACCCUAAUAUCAUUUUUUCAUCAAAUUACAGUAAAAUUGAAAAUUGAUACUUGUGGUUGCCAUGGUUACAAACUUGUUUCUUAGUGUAGUAAUAUGUUAUAUAUAUAUAAAUACAAUAUUGCAUUAUGUAAACUUAUAAUAUUUUAAGAAAUAAUGAUUCAAACACAUGUACAGAGACAAUAAAUACACUACUUUGUAUUUUUGUUGCCAUGGCAAUGUUUCUGUGUAUAUUUGUUACAUUUAUUGUUUUUUAUUACAGGAUUGUCCAUUUGUGAAAUUAUAAUGUGUAUAAUAAGCAUAGCUACAAAAUGCAUAGAUACAUGAAAAUACCUAUUUAUGGAUGUACAUAUUUUCUUCAUAUUUCGAUAAUAGAAUAGAUUUUGUACACUGACCCCCCUUGGACUUAAAUCACCUUAGCAACAAAAGUCUUAAACAUUUUGAAUAUUUAAAAAAAAAAUAUUUGUAAAGUGUCUGCCAAUGCUUAGGUUAUUUGGGUACUUUUUAAGAGCGGCGUGUGUGAUCUCUUUUACGUUUAAUAUUGAAUUGCAUCGUAUUGUGGUUGUCCUGGUAACAUUUUGAUUGCCAUUUAAAACUUCAAUCAUAAUCUUACAAGAAUUUUGUCACCAGUUCAAUAUGUUAUUUUGUGUAAGAUAUAUAACUACAAAUUAUAUAAAGACA